rnacentral:ncRNA from 1 species
CAAAGGCAUGGUCCUCACCUUAUUAUCCUCUUGCCCAACUUACUCCUGCAAGUCUCCGCAUUUCCCGUGAUGCCCUCAAUGGACCCCCGCCCGGGGACGAGGAGCUUGCAUCAGCUCGACAAUUUUUAGGGCCAAGUCGCCUAGGCCUAGCCACAGCCCGAUAGGGAAUACAGCAGUCUUAAACUUUAAGGCGAUAAGUGAAAAAAUUGAUUCAGUCCGGGUAAAGAGGGCCGGUAAAGGCUGGUCCUAGCCUCCGCGGUUGAACGAGUGGCCCCACAUGAUAACACCACGGGGUAAAGGGAGGUUUAGGAAUGCAAAUGCAAUGAAGCUAAAUGGCCCUUUCCUCCGUCAUACGCUGUUAGAGCCGCCGGAAACCGUAACACGAAAGCCUGCUUUAAUGAAUCCUAGCUGAUUGCACCAAAGCGGAGGAUACAAAGAUGGGAUUAGAUUCCCCACUAUGCUCUGCCUUAAACCAUGACACCAAUUGACAACAAUCUCCGCCUGGACACUACCAGCACCUGCUAGAAACGGCAAAGGACCUGACGGUGCCUACGAUCCGACUAGACGAUUCCUGGUUCUAGAACCGAUAAUCCCCGGUUGAACCUCUCCACUCCUAGCAAAAUGAGGCUAUUUACCAGUGGUCGCCAGGCUUACCCUGUGAUGGUAAUAGAUGUAAGCUCAAUCCGUAAAAGCCAAUACGUCAGGUGGAGGUGUAGCUAAUUAAGUGGGAAGUAAAGGCCUACAUUUUGUAUUCGGAGAAUAAAACACGAUACGCAAUAUGAAACUUUUAUUGCUUGAACGAGGAUUAAGUAGUAAAUGGGAAAAAGAGAGUCCCUUUGAACUUCGCCUCUAAGGCGCGUACUCAGCGCCCGUCACUCGCUCCUGUGGAAAAUGGCGCUAACAUUACCUUUAAAAAACAGCACCGACGAGGGGGGAAAAGUCGUAACAAGCUAAGUGUACCGGAAGGUGCACUUGGAUUAAACU